rnacentral:lncRNA from 1 species
AGAACGUCCGACCUAGAGAGUUCUCGACCUCGGAGGUCCAUCCUUGUCGCCCACCUACCAUAGCCGUACCCUUCCGAGGUCCGGCCGAGGGCCAUAUCCUGCCACUGCCCCAGCAUUUAUUACGCAUGAUCUCCGCAAACCCACGGUUCACUCAACAAUUAAUGCGCAUCUCCGGCUUACUCAACAAUUAAUGCGCAUGGCUCCUAUUAUCUACGGAUCCUCAGCUCUCCACGGC